CCUACGGGGGGCAGCAGUGAGGAAUAUUGGUCAAUGGCCGGAAGGCUGAACCAGCCAUGCCGCGUGAAGGUCAGUGCCCUAUGGGCGUUAAACUUCUUUUGUGCGGGAGCAAUAAUGGUCACGUCUGGCCAGACGAGAGUACCGUACGAAUAAGCAUCGGCUAACCCCGUGCCAGCAGCCGCGGUAAUACGGGGGAUGCAAGCGUUAUCCGGAAUUAUUGGGUUUAAAGGGUGCGUGGGCUGUGAGGUAAGUCAGCGGUGAAAUGCCCCCGCUCAACGGGGUGAAGUGCCAUUGAUACUGCCUGGCUGGAAUGCGGAUGCCGUGGGAGGAAUGUGUGGUGUAGCGGUGAAAUGCAUAGAUAUCACACAGAACACCGAUUGCGAAGGCAUCUCACGAAUCCGCGAUUGACGCUGAUGCACGAAAGCGUGGGUAUCAAACAGGAUUAGAUACCCCAGUAGUC
rnacentral:rRNA from 1 species